rnacentral:lncRNA from 1 species
UUUUUUUUUCACCAAAUUUUUAGCCUGAAAAAUUAUUUACCAGCAAAGCUACAGCUUGAUGAAUUGGUGUUGAAACAUGAUUGAUUUCCCAGUUAGUGGUCUGCAUGUGUCUUGUAGCAUGUAGAGUUGAGCAAGCCAUGUGAACCCUUUAUUCUCUAUUCCAUCUACCCUGAAAUUGAGACAAUAAUUAAAAGAUUGGAUGGAACUGGCACAAGGCCUUGGGUGAGUUGAGCAUAUCUUUUAGGCUUUGAUGAUUACAACCUGUGCCUUUUGUAUUAGGGUUGGACCACCCCUAAUAAUUGCAGCCACCUGCUAGGCUGUGGUGAUGCCCAUUCUUUGUUUUUCUAGUGGGUACCCAUAUUUCUCGACAUUUCAGACAUUGGC